rnacentral:rRNA from 1 species
UACGGAGGGUGCAAGCGUUAUCCGGAUUCACUGGGUUUAAAGGGCGCGUAGGUGGGUUGGUAAGUCAGUGGUGAAAUCCCCGAGCUUAACUUGGGAACUGCCAUUGAUACUAUCAGUCUUGAAUACUGUGGAGGUUAGCGGAAUAUGUCAUGUAGCGGUGAAAUGCUUAGAUAUGACAUAGAACACCAAUUGCGAAGGCAGCUGGCUACACAAAUAUUGACACUGAGGCUCGAAAGCGUGGGGAUCAAACAGG